rnacentral:rRNA from 1 species
CCUACGGGAGGCAGCAGUGGGGGAUAUUGCACAAUGGGGGAAACCCUGAUGCAGCGACGCCGCGUGGGUGAAGAAGCGCCUCGGCGCGUACAGCCCUGUCAGCAGGGAAGAAAAUGACGGUACCUGAAGAAGAAGCCCCGGCUAACUACGUGCCAGCAGCCGCGGUAAUACGUAGGGGGCAAGCUGUAUCCGGAUUUACUGGGUGUAAAGGGGGCGCAGACGGCGAUGCAAGCCAGGAGUGACAGCCCGGGGCCCAACCCCGGGACUGCUCUUGGAACUGCGUGGCUAGAGUGCAGGAGGGGCAGGCGGAAUGCCUGGUGUAGCGGUGAAAUGCGUAGAUAUCAGGAGGAACACCGGUGGCGAAGGCGGCCUGCUGGACUGCAACUGACGUUGAGGCCCGAAAGCGUGGGGAGCAAACAGGAUUAGAUACCCCAGUAGUC